GACGAACCGUGCGAACGUUGUUCGGAAUCACUGGGCUUAAAGGGCGCGUAGGCGGGCGAUCAAGUCAGGGGUGAAAGCCCCCAGCUCAACUGGGGAAGUGCCUCUGAUACUGGUAGUCUCGAGGGAGGUAGGGGCGUGCGGAACUUCCGGUGGAGCGGUGAAAUGCGUAGAUAUCGGAAGGAACGUCGGUGGCGAAAGCGGCGCGCUGGACCUCUUCUGACGCUGAGGCGCGAAAGCUAGGGGAGCAAACAGG
rnacentral:rRNA from 1 species